CAAAAACAUCUCUCCCAGAGCUUUGAAUUGGGAGUAGGCCCUGCCCUGUGAUUGAUUUUUAACGGCAACGUUAAGUUUUAAAGUAGCGUGAUAAUUUGUCCCUUAAUUAGGGUCUGGUAUGAAUGGGUUGACGUGGAGAGGCUGUCUCGGGGGUAAUAUUUUGAAAUUUUCUUCCCAGUGAAAAGCCUGGGAUGCUUUUAAAAGACGAGAAGACCCCGUCGAGCUUGAUUACUUAGCCGAUACAUCGGCUAGGUGAAGUUUUAUUGGGGCAAUAAAGGAGAAGUGAAACCUCCUGUUCGUUUAGCGAAGAUCCACUGUUUAGGGAUAAAAGGAAAAAGCUACCGCGGGGAUAACAGCGCAAAACUACCUGAUAGGCCGUAUUGAAGGGAGUGAUUGCGACCUCGAUGUUGGAUUAGGGUUUACAACCAGGCGCAGAGGCCUGGUUAAGUAGGACUGUUCGUCCUUUAAAUCCCUACAUGAUCUGAGU
rnacentral:rRNA from 1 species